GGAGGAUACAGGUCAGUGGUAGAGUGUGUGCUUAGUGUGCACAAGGUCCUGGGUUCAAUCCUCAGUACCUCCA
rnacentral:tRNA from 1 species